rnacentral:rRNA from 1 species
GACGAACGCUGGCGGCGUGCCUAACACAUGCAAGUCGAGCGGUAAGGCCCUUUCGGGGGUACACGAGCGGCGAACGGGUGAGUAACACGUGGGUGACCUGCCCUCAGCUCUGGGAUAAGCCUGGGAAACCGGGUCUAAUACUGGAUAUGACUCCAUGACGCAUGUUGUGGGGUGGAAAGCCUUGUGCGGCUGAGGAUGGGCCCGCGGCCUAUCAGCUUGUUGGUGGGGUGAUGGCCUACCAAGGCGACGACGGGUAGCCGGCCUGAGAGGGCGACCGGCCACACUGGGACUGAGACACGGCCCAGACUCCUACGGGAGGCAGCAGUGGGGAAUCUUGCGCAAUGGGCGAAAGCCUGGCGCAGCGACGCCGCGUGAGGGAUGACGGCCU